GACGAACGCUGGCGGCGUGCUUAACACAUGCAAGUCGAACGGAAAGGCCCUGCUUUUGUGGGGUGCUCGAGUGGCGAACGGGUGAGUAACACGUGAGUAACCUGCCCUUGACUUUGGGAUAACUUCAGGAAACUGGGGCUAAUACCGGAUAGGAGCUCCUGCUGCAUGGUGGGGGUUGGAAAGUUUCGGCGGUUGGGGAUGGACUCGCGGCUUAUCAGCUUGUUGGUGGGGUAGUGGCUUACCAAGGCUUUGACGGGUAGCCGGCCUGAGAGGGUGACCGGCCACAUUGGGACUGAGAUACGGCCCAGACUCCUACGGGAGGCAGCAGUGGGGAAUAUUGCACAAUGGGCGGAAGCCUGAUGCAGCAGCGCCGCGUGCGGAAUGACGGCCUUCGGGUUGUAAACCGCUUUCGCCUGUGACGAAGCGUGAGUGACGGUAAUGGAUAAAGAAGCACCGGCUAACUACGUG
rnacentral:rRNA from 1 species